UACGAGGGGGGCAAGCGUUGUUCGGAAUUAUUGGGCGUAAAGGGUGCGUAGGCGGUCUGACAAGUCUGAUGUGAAAUCUAUGGGCUCAACCCAUAGUCUGCAUCGGAAACUGUCGGGCUUGAGUAUGGGAGAGGUGAGUGGAAUUUCCGGUGUAGCGGUGAAAUGCGUAGAUAUUCGGAGGAACACCAGUGGCGAAGGCGGCUCACUGGUCCAUUACUGACGCUGAGGUGCGAAAGCGUGGGGAGCAAACAGG
rnacentral:rRNA from 1 species